rnacentral:lncRNA from 1 species
AACAAAUCCUGUGCCUCUGGAAAAGCCAUCCUUUGCAAAUCCUCUCUAUACAUAAUCUUAAAAAGCAUUCAUACUGAUAGCAAAUACUAAAUGUAUUUUGUAUAUUUUGUAAUGCAGAGGGAGAGAAUGGCUGCUGGCUGGAUGACAUUAGCAAACAGACCAUCCCUAAUCUGCUCUUCAGCACAUGACCUACAUCUUGUUGCUAUCAUUCCUCUUUUCUUUGAGUGAAUAACUCUCAUUUCAUGAGGCUUUUCUAAGCAGAACCCAUCCUUCAGUAUGCCUGUAUAUACAGCAGUUUUACACAGGCUUUUUUUCUCUAUGCCCAACACAAAGGCAGAAAAAGGAGCUGCUGACGCUAACAAGGAAAAAAGGAAGGUGGUCAUUCCUGGAGAAGACGCCUUUCUCCUUAAUAUCCUGACACAGCGAGGUGGUUGCCCACAGAUUAGGAAACUGUUUCCAGAGCUCAUCAUCACCCAAGUGAGGUGGUUGCCACAACAGAAAAAGAGCAUAUCUGUGGCUGGAGCUGGAUGCAAUUCACAUUCUCUUAGGCCAAACCGGAUCUGGAAGGGUCACCAGCAAGCCUCCCUGAUCUGGAUUAAGAUGUUAAUGCAGAUGUGUCCUGAAUAUGAAGCUGACCUGCACUUACAAAGAGUGCCAUCAGCUUGCAUCAUUAGCUGCUGAA